CGAAUGCUGACAUAAGUAACGAUAAAGCGGGUGAAAAGCCCGCUCGCCGGAAGACCAAGGGUUCCUGUCCAACGUUAAUCGGGGCAGGGUGAGUCGACCCCUAAGGCGAGGCCGAAAGGCGUAGUCGAUGGGAAACAGGUUAAUAUUCCUGUACUUGGUGUUACUGCGAAGGGGGGACGGAGAAGGCUAUGUUGGCCGGGCGACGGUUGUCCCGGUUUAAGCGUGUAGGCUGGUUUUCCAGGCAAAUCCGGAAAAUCAAGGCUGAGGCGUGAUGACGAGGCACUACGGUGCUGAAGCAACAAAUGCCCUGCUUCCAGGAAAAGCCUCUAAGCAUCAGGUAACAUCAAAUCGUACCCCAAACCGACACAGGUGGUCAGGUAGAGAAUACCAAGGCGCUUGAGAGAACUCGGGUGAAGGAACUAGGCAAAAUGGUGCCGUAACUUCGGGAGAAGGCACGCUGAUAUGUAGGUGAAGCGACUUGCUCGUGGAGCUGAAAUCAGUCGAAGAUACCAGCUGGCUGCAACUGUUUAUUAAAAACACAGCACUGUGCAAACACGAAAGUGGACGUAUACGGUGUGACGCCUGCCCGGUGCCGGAAGGUUAAUUGAUGGGGUUAGCGGUAACGCGAAGCUCUUGAUCGAAGCCCCGGUAAACGGCGGCCGUAACUAUAACGGUCCUAAGGUAGCGAAAUUCCUUGUCGGGUAAGUUCCGACCUGCACGAAUGGCGUAAUGAUGGCCAGGCUGUCUCCACCCGAGACUCAGUGAAAUUGAACUCGCUGUGAAGAUGCAGUGUACCCGCGGCAAGACGGAAAGACCCCGUGAACCUUUACUAUAGCUUGACACUGAACAUUGAGCCUUGAUGUGUAGGAUAGGUGGGAGGCUUUGAAGUGUGGACGCCAGUCUGCAUGGAGCCGGCCUUGAAAUACCACCCUUUAAUGUUUGAUGUUCUAACGUUGGCCCCUGAUCGGGGUUGCGGACAGUGUCUGGUGGGUAGUUUGACUGGGGCGGUCUCCUCCUAAAGAGUAACGGAGGAGCACGAAGGUUGGCUAAUCCUGGUCGGACAUCAGGAGGUUAGUGCAAUGGCAUAAGCCAGCUUGACUGCGAGCGUGACGGCGCGAGCAGGUGCGAAAGCAGGUCAUAGUGAUCCGGUGGUUCUGAAUGGAAGGGCCAUCGCUCAACGGAUAAAAGGUACUCCGGGGAUAACAGGCUGAUACCGCCCAAGAGUUCAUAUCGACGGCGGUGUUUGGCACCUCGAUGUCGGCUCAUCACAUCCUGGGGCUGAAGUAGGUCCCAAGGGUAUGGCUGUUCGCCAUUUAAAGUGGUACGCGAGCUGGGUUUAGAACGUCGUGAGACAGUUCGGUCCCUAUCUGCCGUGGGCGCUGGAGAACUGAGGGGGGCUGCUCCUAGUACGAGAGGACCGGAGUGGACGCAUCACUGGUGUUCGGGUUGUCAUGCCAAUGGCA
rnacentral:rRNA from 1 species